rnacentral:rRNA from 1 species
GGGUUGUGAGGUUAAGCGACUAAGCGUACACGGUGGAUGCCCUGGCAGUCAGAGGCGAUGAAGGACGUGCUAAUCUGCGAUAAGCGUCGGUAAGGUGAUAUGAACCGUUAUAACCGGCGAUUUCCGAAUGGGGAAACCCAGUGUGAUUCGUCACACUAUCAUUAACUGAAUCCAUAGGUUAAUGAGGCGAACCGGGGGAACUGAAACAUCUAAGUACCCCGAGGAAAAGAAAUCAACCGAGAUUCCCCCAGUAGC